rnacentral:rRNA from 1 species
UAGAGUUUGAUCCUGGCUCAGAAUGAACGCUGGCGGCGUGGCUAAGACAUGCAAGUCGAACGGACUAUUUUGCAGAGUAAUCUAAAGAAUAGUUAGUGGCGAAAGGGUUAGUAAUGGAUAGGUAACGUACCUUGUGCACUGGGAAAGCGUCAUCCCUUAGGGGAUUUCCGAAAGGGGCGGUAAUACCGGAUAAUAUCACAUGGCGAUAGUUAUGUGAUCAAAGAUUUAUCGGCACAUGAGCGGCCUAUCUCCUAUCAGCUUGUUGGUGAGGUAAAAGCUCACCAAGGCAAUGACGGGUAGCGGGACUGAGAGGUUGGCCCGCAACAUCGGGACUGAGACACUGCCCGGACCUCCACGGAGGGCUGCAGUAACGAAUAUUGCGCAAUGGGCGAAAGCCUGACGCAGCGACGCCGCGUGUAGGAUGAAGUCUUUCGGGAUGUAAACUACUGUCAGGGGUAAGAAAGUGCGCUUCGGCGUAUUGAUCUAACCCAGAGGAAGUCACGGCUAACUUCGUGCCAGCAGCCGCGGUAAUCGAAUCCCGCGCCCGCCAGGCGGCUCGGCGCAUGCGUUGGGGGGUA